CCUACGGGAGGCAGCAGUGGGGAAUAUUGCACAAUGGGGGAAACCCUGAUGCAGCGACGCCGCGUGAGUGAAGAAGUAAUUCGUUAUGUAAAGCUCUAUCAGCAGGGAAGAAAAUGACGGUACCUGAGUAAGAAGCCCCGGCUAACUACGUGCCAGCAGCCGCGGUAAUACGUAGGGGGCAAGCGUUAUCCGGAUUUACUGGGUGGAAAGGGAGCGUAGACGGCAGUGCAAGUCUGGGGUGAAAGGCGGGGGCUCAACCCCCGGACUGCUCUGGAAACUGUACGGCUGGAGUGCAGGAGAGGUAAGUGGAAUGCCUGGUGUAGCGGUGAAAUGCGUAGAUAUUAGGAGGAACACCAGUGGCGAAGGCGGCUUACUGGACUGUAACUGACGUUGAGGCUCGAAAGCGUGGGGAGCAAACAGGAUUAGAUACCCCUGUAGUC
rnacentral:rRNA from 1 species